AGGGGACGGAGCAGGGGGCGGGAGCUCCCGGCCCGCACGGCGCUCAGGAGGGGGCGGUGACAGCCCAGGCCCGCCCCCGCCCCGCGUGUCGCGGGACCCCGCGCUCUUAUCAGAAACCGCCUUGUCCCUCCAGCGGACAACUCUUGGGAGAGCCGGGAGCAACUCCACAGAGUCGCCUGUUCGGAUCUCCUGGAGUCAACCCCACCCCUGCAACAUAGCAGCGUGGGAAGUGCCUGCUUGUGCAGUUUGUGGCCCCGCAGCCACAUACCGCACGUCAACACUUGUCUGGAUGUGGCCAGAAAGACCACAACAGUGUCAUCUAUCAUUGAUUCCAAGUAGACCAUAUGAGAAAGUGGGUGUGAGGAAAACUUAUUGGAAUCAGGAGAGAGGCGGCGGGACGCCUCAUCAACAGCCAAUCACGGCAAAAGUGAAACCAGGGUGACUGGAGCCACCACGGUCAAAGAUCAAAGGAAAAACCCGUGGCAGAGCCGGGAGCAGCUCCCACAUCUGCCUCGGCAGGCAGCUGAAGCCGGCAGAAAAGCCCCAACUGGAAGGAAGCCAGGGGGUCUGGAAAGAGCAUCCCCAGCUGGCCCAGAGGGGUCAGAACAGUCGGAGGAUCUGGAGGAAGAGGCUUGGUGGCUCCCUUGGGAAGGGAGCAUGAAGGGAACGCUGGGCCAGUGAGGGCCCAAGGAGUCGCUGGCAGACCUGGUGUGGACCACAGCCAGUAGCCACAGCGACUGGGACAUCGGCAAACGCAAUGAGGAUGGGACCCUGACCUGAAUGAGUGGCAGAAGAUACUGAACUCAGGGGGUCAACAACACGUCAAGGGAGGCAGGAGCCCAGGUAGAACCCGGCUCCACAUAAGCCAAAAAGCAAAGAGGGGCCACGGAAAGUGCUUGGCACUAGCUUCACCGGUGGCAAACAACUGCAGCCCCAAGGAACCGAGUGCUGGGGAGAGCCUGAACAUUGGCCCUGACAGGCAACAUCACAGUUGGCGUUAGGCAGGGUGUAGGGGAGGUGGAGCCCCAAGAAGAGGCAGUCGCGAGGACAGCCAAGGGAAAGGACCAGGGGGGCAGGACCAGACAUCAUCCUCCCAAUUGGAAACUUCUUAUCAAAUACGUGGCAGACAAGACCCCCUGGGGAUCUGACCCAAGGCCACUCCCAGUAGCCUGGCUGUACAGCCCAAGGAGCCACGGUGAGGUUCUUAAAGAACCCAAAGCAUGAUGCUCAGGAAAAAGGCACGGAAAGUUACAGUGGGUCAGAAUUGGGACUAGGACAAGGACCAAACUGCAGAACAAGAGUAGGCAAAAAACUUAGCAUGGGCACAAACAAUAUUUCUACAUAUUUGUAUUCUUUUCAUGUGCAAUUUCAUAUAUUACAUGGCAGUGGGGAUUAGAAAAGGUCCCAAUAUACAUGAAUGGACCUCAAAAGUUUCAGUCUACAAUCCAUGAAAACCUGGUUUAUGCACUAGAAAAUAACAAAAAUUAAAAGAGGUAUAAAUGGAGUUAAACUGCAGAAGCUUUAAAUUUGUUCCAUUCAUGUUUAAAGGUACAGUCAUUUAAUCCACUUAUACCUCUAUUAUAGGAGCAGAAAGAUGAAACUGUUACAUCCAUUCAAUUGACAUGUAUUCUCAACUAGUAACUUUCCCAUUCCUCCUUGAAACAGCAUAUCAUUAUGUCUGUCCAUAGGCUCUGUAACUGGCAGGCUGUUUUGGUCCUGUGUAAGUCCCUUUGUGUUGUGUGUAUUGCCCAUAUCUUAUGAUAUAAAGUGAAUGAAGAGUUUUAACUAAAGUCAGAGCAUUAUCUGCAUAGUAACAUGGAGGGGCUGAGGCCUCUCUGGAGGGUCACCACACCAUAUGUCAGGGACUUUACAUUUUGCAGAUUUUCUGUUCUUUGCGUUUAGAAUAUUAUAUGAUAUCACCUCUCUGUAAUGCGUAGAUAUUUGCAUUUUUCCUAUUAGGAUUUACAAAAGCACUUGCUCUUACGCAGUGGCUAAUGUGAUGAUUUGCAUAACAUUCCCGUGGUAGAAGAACUGGUACAAAGUGUCCUUUAGUUUAACAAAGCUCAAUAUCCAGAAAAUCUAGGGUCAAAGGCCACCCAGAGUAAUGUACAUUUACAUAGCAGCUUUCAUCCAGGUUUCUAAGCUCUCUGUGUCCUCUUUCAUCCCACUCCAAAGAGAGAAGGUAGAAAGUCCUGUGGCUAAGGUACUGGCUUGGGACUUAGAAAUUUUGGCUGAGAUUCCUGGCUGUAUUACAUAUUACUGUGUGAUGUUGAGCACAUUAAUAAAGCCCUAAACAAUUCAGUUUCCAUUACCUCCAAUGGGAACUACAGAGGUUUCAUACCCCUGACAAAUUAAACUUGUAAUCUCUAGGUCUCAAAUAAUUUUCUUGCACACUUUAUUUGUCUAUAUUAUAACCUUUUUGGGACAGA